rnacentral:lncRNA from 1 species
AAAUAACUAAGAAAAACAUAAAACUAUCCCCCCGUGACAAACUAGAACACCUCCACAAACCGAUCGGCAACUUCCAUACUCUCCCUCCACAUCAUCGGCAGACUCCCUCGUCGUAGCCAUCGGCACAAACACAUCAUCACCUAUGGACUUGGUCACGUUCAACCACUCCUCCAUCGGCAACCAUCCUCAUCGGCAACUCAUCCUGUAGAUCAAACACUGCCGUCUUAUCUUGCCGACCUACACUUUACUAAUCAUGAACACGUGCCCAAAAACGGUGUCAACAGAAUCGAACUCUAUAUCAUGCUAGACAAAAGUUAUUCUAACUUGUCGAAGUAUGGGCUAUAUAUAUAAGUCUGGAUAGAAGAAACUCUUCAUUAUCCGGUAGCUAAUGAGAGACGGGCCA